rnacentral:rRNA from 1 species
GACGAACGCUGGCGGCGUGCUUAACACAUGCAAGUCGAACGGAAAGGCCCUGCUUUUGUGGGGUGCUCGAGUGGCGAACGGGUGAGUAACACGUGAGUAACCUGCCCUUGACUUUGGGAUAACUUCAGGAAACUGGGGCUAAUACCGGAUAGGAGCUCCUGCUGCAUGGCGGGGGUUGGAAAGUUUCGGCGGUUGGGGAUGGACUCGCGGCUUAUCAGCUUGUUGGUGGGGUAGUGGUUUACCAAGGCUUUGACGGGUAGCCGGCCUGAGAGGGUGACCGGCCACAGUGGGACUGAGAUACGGCCCAGAGGCCUACGGGAGGCAGCAGUGGGGAAUAUUGCACAAUGGGCGGAAGCCUGAUGCAGCAACGCCGCGUGCGGGAUGACGGCCUUCGGGGUGUAAACCGCUUUCGCCUGUGACGAAGCGUGAGUGACGGUAAUGGGUAAAGAAGCACCGGCUAACUACGUG